AGUGCUGAGCCCUGGGCAAGUGUCUCCAGACAUCCCUACCUUUUCUCCCUUUUAUUAGUCUUCUUUCCCAACAGAACCCAUUUACUUUGCCACUAAAACUAGGUUGCAUCCAAAAGUUUCUAAACAAGCUUAAAAAAGAAAAAUUGACACCAUUAUACAGAAGAAUUCACAAAAGCUGCAGAGCGCCAGGGCAGAGAAGCAGCGACAGACACAGGCCCAGGACACACAGGACGGAUGUUUCCAAGUCACUCGAGGGACACAUGCCUGUGUCUUAGAAGUUGCUUCCCUGCCUCUACUCUGUGAAUUUUCCAAACUCUCUAACUCUGAGUCAUCUUCAUUCACUCUUCCCUGUAGUUUGUGUGUAAAGAGCCCUUAAAGCAAUAUGGUGGAGGGUAAGAGUUGUGAGCCGGUGGCAGGCAAGACCUAAACUUGGUACAGCAAAGGCAAUUUCGUGGUACUUGCUCCUGAGUCUGGGAAUCACAGGCUAGCCAGCUUCUCCCCUAUUACUAGGAAACAGUAGAACUUAGGGAAAUGGAGGAUUCCACGUUUAAGAGGCCUGAAAUUGUAUACUUGGCAUUUCUGAUUUCAGUUCUAAAAUUCUGUCCCUUCGUCAUAGAGAAAAUGAGAAAUGUAGUCACAACUUUUCAUUACAAAAACGUUGCAUUAAGAGAAAUGGAGAAUCAUGCCCUCAUAAAACAUGUAUAAAAGUGUUCAUGAUUUGAGCAGGGCUGGGGCUAUAGCUCAGACAUCGGGCGCUUGCACAGCAAUGUGCAUAACCCAAGGUUCAAGGCCCAGCACUGACAAAGAGAAGCAGAAGGAGCGGAGGUAUUCACAGCAACCUUUUCAAUAUAGGCAUGAAAGGGAGAGUUUAAGUGCCGGUUGAGGAAUGGAGAGUGUAAAAUGGCUUGUCUAUAAAACUGGAUUCUGGUCAUCAGUAGAGAGGUCUGAAGUGAUAGAUAUGGUGGAUGAGUCUUUAAACAUCUUCCUGAGUAAUGAAGCCAACCAGAAGAAAGGCAGAUACUCCGUAUCUCUGGAGUAUAUAGGCAUACCAUUAUAGAGAAAAAGCACCAUACUGGUUACCUGGACUUGGAGUGAUGAACAGACUUUGGGAGACAGCAGAGUGGAACAGAAUUUACUUGAGUGGUGAUAAAAAAAAAGUUCUUGAAUUAACGGAAGUGAUGCUUGCUCCACUUGAUUGCUGCAUUUAAAAACCACUGAAUUUUACCUUUGGAUGGGUGAAUUCAUUGUAUUUCAAUAAAGCCAUGAAUAU
rnacentral:lncRNA from 1 species